rnacentral:lncRNA from 1 species
CAUGACUUUUGCUGCUCUCAUGGCUACCAUUGUACAUGUUGCCUUGUUUGAUGGCAAGUAAGUUACAGCCAAUGCUUUCUUUUUCUUCAUUAUAUAUACUACAAAAUGAAAGGGAAUAUUCAUUUGUGAAAUUGUACAGAACAAUAUGGAAGCUUUGGAAGAAGACUACAGGUGCAGUCAAGGAUCGUUACUCUGAUGUGCAUACAAGGCUAAUGAAGAAGAACUAUGAAGCAGUACCUGAAUGGUGGUUCUUGAUUAUACUGGCUAUUUCUUUUGCUCUUGCUCUUCUUGCAGUUGAGGGUUUUGGCAAACAGCUUCAGCUUCCAUGGUGGGGGCUCAUCUUGGCUUGCCUUAUUGCCCUUACCUUCACAUUACCAAUUGGGAUCAUUCAAGCCACCACAAAUCAGGUGCGUAUAUAUAACAUAUAUCUUGAAUAUACCAUCUCCAACUGGAAAUCUUAAAAUUUAUAACUUUGAGUUUGGUUUGCAGCAAAUAGGGCUAAAUGUGAUCACAGAGUUGAUAAUAGGAUACAUGUACCCUGGGAAACCCUUGGCAAACGUGGCUUUCAAGACUUAUGGAUACAUCAGCAUGGCACAAGCACUAGGAUUCCUGGGUGACUUCAAACUAGGCCAUUACAUGAAAAUCCCUCCUAAAGUAAUGUUUCUGGUCCAGACAGUUGGAACACUAGUGUCGUCAACAGUCUACUUUGCGACAUCCUGGUGGCUGCUGUCAACAGUGAAAAACAUAUGUGAUCCAGACGCACUCCCCCCUGGGAGUCCAUGGACUUGCCCAGGAGACAGUGUGUUCUACAGUGCCUCAAUCAUAUGGGGAGUAAUUGGACCUCUAAGAAUGUUCACUAAGAAGGGAAUCUACCCAGAGAUGAACUGGUUCUUCCUCAUAGGAGCAUUGGCACCCGUCCCUGUUUGGUUGCUUGCUAGGAAAUACCCGCAGAAGAAAUGGAUAAAGAUGAUCCAUAUGCCCCUCAUAUUUGCGGCUACUAACAGUAUGCCGCCGGCUAGACCAGUUCACUUCUGGACAUGGGGAGCAGUGGGGAUAUUCUUCAACUACUACGUCUACAACAAGUACAAAGGAUGGUGGGCUAGACACACUUACAUUAUGUCGGCUGCCUUGGAUGCUGGGGUUGCGUUUCUGGCUGUUUUGCUCUUCUUUCUUCUGCAGAACAAGAACAUCAAUGGUCCUGCUUGGUGGGGAUUGGAACAAAGUGAUCAUUGUUUGUUAUCGAGUUGUCCUACUGCCCCUGGAGUUGUUGUCCAUGGUUGCCCUGUCGUUUCUUGAUUCCAUCUCUGCUCAUUUGUCUAGACAUAUUCAGAGUUUCCAUGGUGAGAGUGGUAGACUGACAAAUACAUGUUAUAAUAAUAAGAGGAAUUAGGAAGUGUUAUCAUUUUCCUUUUAUCAUUGUAGAAUAGAAAGAUUAUUUAUGUUUGGCCUGAUUUCUGAAUUCUGAUUGCAGUCCAUGAAAAAUAGAAGUUCAAUCCCCUAGCAUUUCGAUGUUCAAAUAGUUCAAUUAUUGAUUUUCUUCUCUGGGUGGGUCCGUCUUUCACUUGGACCAGCAAACAAGACACGAAAGUUCCAUCAUACCUGGACCGCUUUCUUGCUUCUCCGUCUCAUGGUCCCUCUCUCAUUCUGGACUUGACCAAGUUGCGAGGACAGUAAUUCCUGCUCUGCUUACAACGGGAACUUGGGUUUAAACUUGGGCGACAACUGUCGACUGACCAGUGUGAGGGGCGAUGGAAGAUGACCGUUAGUAGGUUUUGUCUCCUGCAAUUGAAGUGGGGCGAUGGAGGCUAGAGCUGAUUCUGGAGACAGGGAGUUUCUUCUCUGGAGUACUUGGGAAAUUUGUAGAUUCAGAUCCCUUACCGCCCCCAUCCUCCACCACCGGCGACAGCAACAUAUUUGAUGCGGAGGAGAAGCUCCUAAUGUAAUGGCGGCGGCAGCGACAGGUUGAAGAUGAAGAAGAAGCAUGAUUACAUCUUUACCCCUCAAAUUCAUACUGUUGGAUCUAGGUUUAAUUUUUGGACGGCCAAGAUUAAUCCUUGAUCGGAUCAACUGCUUACGAUCUGUCCAGUCGUCCACCGCACUGCACCCCGCAAAGGCUCUUCACACCUGUACUGAAUGAAAUAGUAGUCAACUCUAAACUCCAAACAAAGAA